rfam:Pelodiscus sinensis unplaced genomic scaffold scaffold839, whole genome shotgun sequence.
GCCAAAGUAGUUCAGUUGGGAGCGUGUUAGACUGAAGAUUUGAAGGGUCCUGGAUCAAUCCCUAGCUUUGGCA